GGGCUGCAGUGAGGAAUUUUGCGCAAUGGGGGAAACCCUGACGCAGCAACGCCGCGUGAGUGAAGAAGGCCUUCGGGUCGUAAAACUCUGUCAAGUGGGAAGAACCUUCAUGAUGCCAAUACCAUUGUGAACUGACGGUACCACUGGAGGAAGCACCGGCUAACUCCGUGCCAGCAGCCGCGGUAAUACGGAGGGUGCAAGCGUUAUUCGGAAUCACUGGGCGUAAAGGGCGCGCAGGCGGCUCCUUAAGUCAGGCGUGAAAGCCCGGGGCUAAACUCCGGAAGUGCGUCCGAAACUGAGGGGCUUGAGUACGGGAGAGGGAAGUGGAAUUCCUGGUGUAGAGGUGAAAUUCGUAGAUAUCAGGAGGAACACCAGUGGCGAAGGCGACUUCCUGGACCGAUACUGACGCUGAGGCGCGAAAGCGUGGGGAGCAAACAGGAUUAGAUACCCUAGUAGUC
rnacentral:rRNA from 1 species